rnacentral:rRNA from 1 species
UACGAAGGGGGCUAGCGUUGUUCGGAUUUACUGGGCGUAAAGCGCACGUAGGCGGAUUGUUAAGUCGGGGGUGAAAUCCUGGAGCUCAACUCCAGAACUGCCUUCGAUACUGGCAAUCUAGAGUCCGGAAGAGGUGAGUGGAACUCCUAGUGUAGAGGUGGAAUUCGUAGAUAUUAGGAAGAACACCAGUGGCGAAGGCGGCUCACUGGUCCGGUACUGACGCUGAGGUGCGAAAGCGUGGGGAGCAAACGGG